GACGAACGCUGGCGGCGUGCUUAACACAUGCAAGUCGAACGGUGAAGCGCCUUCCUUUUUGGUGGGUGUGGAUGAGUGGCGAACGGGUGAGUAACACGUGAGUAACCUGCCCCCUUCUUCUGGAUAACCGCAUGAAAGUGUGGCUAAUACGGGAUAUUCUGGGUCUGUCGCAUGAUGGGUCUGGGAAAGAUAUUGUUUCGGUGGGGGAUGGGCUCGCGGCCUAUCAGCUUGUUGGUGGGGUGAUGGCCUACCAAGGCGGUGACGGGUAGCCGGCCUGAGAGGGUGGACGGUCACACUGGGACUGAGAGACGGCCCAGACUCCUACGGGAGGCAGCAGGGGGGAAUAUUGCACAAUGGGCGCAAGGCUGAUGCAGCGACGCCGCGUGAGGGAUGGAGGCCUUCGGGUUGUGAACCUCUUUCGCCAGUGAAGCAGGCCUGCCUCGUUUGUGGGUGGGUUGACGGUAGCUGGAUAAGAAGCGCCGGCUAACUACGUG
rnacentral:rRNA from 1 species